UCCCUCCAUUGAUUAGUAGGAGGACAACCUUCCCUGACAGAGGAGGAUCAUUUCCUCCAUCAAGGGCAUAUGAGGAGCUGCACUCUCCUGCUAGAAACUACAAACAAGUUCCUGAGUUCGGUCUACAAUGUUAUACAGAAUC
rnacentral:sRNA from 1 species